rnacentral:rRNA from 1 species
AGCAGUGGGGAAUAUUGCACAAUGGGCGAAAGCCUGAUGCAGCAACGCCGCGUGAGCGAUGAAGGCCUUCGGGUCGUAAAGCUCUGUCCUCAAGGAAGAUAAUGACGGUACUUGAGGAGGAAGCCCCGGCUAACUACGUGCCAGCAGCCGCGGUAAUACGUAGGGGGCUAGCGUUAUCCGGAAUUACUGGGCGUAAAGGGUGCGUAGGUGGUUUCUUAAGUCAGAGGUGAAAGGCUACGGCUCAACCGUAGUAAGCCUUUGAAACUGGGAAACUUGAGUGCAGGAGAGGAGAGUGGAAUUCCUAGUGUAGCGGUGAAAUGCGUAGAUAUUAGGAGGAACACCAGUUGCGAAGGCGGCUCUCUGGACUGUAACUGACACUGAGG